CUCCAAGGAACAUUCAACGCUGUCGGUGAGUUUGGGACUUGAAGAAACCACCGACCGUUGACUGUACCUUGGGC
rnacentral:pre_miRNA from 1 species